GAUCGAGAUGGACCUAGAGGGGGUGAAUAGGUACAGUUCCAAAUUUUAAUAGUUACUUAGCAAUGUUAGGCAAUGGUGCGGAAUAUGAGAGUGAGCCUAAUAAUUGCAAAGCCAAAGAGUAAGCUAUUUAGAGUAAAGUAAGGCAACCGGUAAACUAUAAUCAAAUGCAAGUACGUAAUAAGGAUUAACACAAGUAGAGAGUUAGGGUUAGGGAUAACCAAAACUCCAAGAGAGACGAGGAUGUAUCCCGGUGUUCACUUCCUUGGAGGGAACCUAUGUCACCGUUAGAGGAGCGGAUGUUACCACGAAGGCACACCAACGCCGCGAAGGCUCACCCUAUUCUCCCUUUGAGACAACACCACGAAGGCAUUUCUCAACCACUAGUGGUAAGCCUUGAGGUGGCUUCCAAACCUUCACAAACUUUUCGGG
rnacentral:lncRNA from 1 species